rnacentral:tmRNA from 1 species
AUAGGUUUCGACGGGGAUAGUUGAGACGAAGGAAGCGAGCCGCGGACUCCGGGGCCGCGUCAACAACCUGGGAUUAAAUAUAAGUGCAGACGACGCACAAUUAGCCUUAGCUGCUUAAGCAGCUAACGUCCACCCUGUAGUGCCCACGCUGCAGGUGCUGGGCGCCGACUCAGUGGGGAACGAACCUGCCUAAGCUUUGCGGCAGGCCGGAUAUCAUGAAGCUACCAAAACCGGGAUCCUGUCAGUGGGAGCCCGGCGGAGGGAAUGUUCAAAACACUGACUGCGCUCGGAGAGGCUUUCGUUGAGAUAUCUUCGGACAGGGGUUCGAUUCA